rnacentral:misc_RNA from 1 species
GAGAGAGAGGAGUUAUGGUCAUGGAGACUGCCAUUUGUGGCCGAGUUGCUCUUUCUCCCCAUCAAAUCUUCCAACCUAAACCUGGAGACAAGAAACCUCGCCAAAAACAAUGGACAAAUCGGAAUGCUUUAAUGGCAAUGUCUAUAGCAGGAGCUGGCAAAGGUGGUGGGUUGUUGGAGAAGCCUGUCAUAGAGAAAACAACUCCUGGGCGUGAAUCUGAGUUUGACUUGAGAAAAUCAAGGAAAAUGUCCCCACCCUAUCGCGUGAUGCUGCACAAUGACAAUUUCAACAAGAGGGAAUAUGUUGUUCAAGUACUCAUGAAGGUUAUACCAGGGAUGACGGUCGACAAUGCUGUUAAUAUCAUGCAAGAGGCACAUCACAAUGGUCUGGCAGUGGUGAUAAUCUGUGCUCAAGCUGAUGCAGAAGAACAUUGCACACAGCUAAGAGGCAAUGGUUUGCUGAGCUCCAUCGAGCCUGCCAGUGGAGGUUGUUAAAGAGAAUGAACCUGAUGGGUGAAUUCUUCAGAAGCAGCAC